rnacentral:rRNA from 1 species
GAUUUAACUAUAAAGUGAGUGGCGAACGGGUGAGUAACACGUGGGUAACCUGCCCAGAAGUGGGGGAUAACACCUGGAAACAGAUGCUAAUACCGCAUAACAAAAUUAACCGCAUGGUUGAUUUUUAAAAGAUGGCUUCGGCUAUCACUUCUGGAUGGACCCGCGGCGUAUUAGCUAGUUGGUGAGAUAAAGGCUCACCAAGGCAGUGAUACGUAGCCGACCUGAGAGGGUAAUCGGCCACAUUGGGACUGAGACACGGCCCAGACUCCUACGGGAGGCAGCAGUAGGGAAUCUUCCACAAUGGACGCAAGUCUGAUGGAGCAACGCCGCGUGAGUGAUGAAGGCUUUCGGGUCGUAAAACUCUGUUGUUGGAGAAGAACGUGUGUGAGAGUAACUGCUCAUGCAGUGACGGUAUCCAACCAGAAAGCCACGGCUAACUACGUGCCAGCAGCCGCGGUAAUACGUAGGUGGCAAGCGUUAUCCGGAUUUAUUGGGCGUAAAGCGAGCGCAGGCGGUCUUUUAAGUCUAAUGUGAAAGCCUUCGGCUUAACCGAAGAAGUGCAUUGGAAACUGGGAGACUUGAGUGCAGAAGAGGAGAGUGGAACUCCAUGUGUAGCGGUGAAAUGCGUAGAUAUAUGGAAGAACACCAGUGGCGAACGCGGCUCUCUGGUCUGCAACUGACGCUGAGGCUCGAAAGCAUGGGUAGCGAACAGGAUUAGAUACCCUGGUAGUCAUGCGUAACGAUGAUGCUAGUGUGAGGUUUCGCCCUCAGUGCUGCAGCUACGCAUUAGCAUCGCUGGG